rnacentral:rRNA from 1 species
CACGGGGGGAGCAAGCGUUGUUCGGAAUCACUGGGCGUAAAGGGCGUGUAGGCGGUCAAGUAAGUGGAAUGUGAAAUCCCUCGGCUUAACCGAGGAACUGCGUCCGAUACUGAAAGGCUUGAAUCCGGGAGAGGGAUGUGGAAUUCCAGGUGUAGCGGUGAAAUGCGUAGAUAUCUGGAGGAACACCGGUGGCGAAGGCGGCAUCCUGGACCGGUAUUGACGCUGAGGCGCGAAAGCUAGGGGAGCAAACGGG